AUGGCUUCUCCAGGGGGUGGUCAUGGGAACCAUGAUGAUAAUGGAUCAGAACCACCAACAGAUGUGCAAGAAACCGCAGCUAGCAAUGCGAAAGAUCGUAUUAAUGAAAGGGUACCAAAGAUUGGAAUGAAUUUUUUAUCUGAUGAAGAGGCUUAUUCCUUUUAUAACAAGUAUGCUGAAGUUAUGGGUUUCAGCAUCCGGAGAGGUAGUAAGCAUAAAGAACUCGUGCUGAAGAUAAGAGAGAAGAUACAUUCAGUUAUAGUUUACAAAUUUGAGGAGACACAUAACCACAUUCUUGCUACUGGAACCAUGGCCCAAUACUUGAGAUCUCACAGAAAAGUGACAGAUGCACAAAUAGCGGCUGCAGAGGUCGCAAAGUCUGUAGGCAUUUCUAAUAAAGCAACUAUUGAUCUUAUGGCCAAAGAAGCAUGUGGACAAGAAAACCUUGGUUUUAUCCCUCAAGACAUGAAAAAUCGUUUGUACUCAAAAAGAACAUUGCAAGCAGCGAAAGGUGAUACAGGGGGAGUGUUAGAAUAUAUGGAGAAGAAGCACCUUGCUGGAGUUGUUCCAGAAUAUAAGAAGUUCAAUAGUGAUUUCCAGCAUUGUAUCUAUGACAUAAAGGACGAAGAAGAAUUUAUAAGUGCAUGGAAUGAUAUGCUUGAUAAGUAUGGACUACGUGAGAAUACAUGGCUCCAAAGGUUGUUCGAGAAAAGGGAGCAAUGGGCACUAGUGUAUGGUAGAAAUACAUUCUCUGCCCACAUGAGAACUACCCAACGAAGUGAAAGCAUGAACAAUGAACUGAAGCGUUACAUCAGUAUUAAAUAUGACAUGCUUACUUUUUUCGAGCAUUUCGAACGGCUUGUUGCAGAUAAAAGAUUUGAAGAAGUGAAGUGUGACUUCAAGGCAUCACAAACUACUCCCAAGAUGAAGGUGGAAUGUAGCUAUAUAUUAAGUCAAGCUGUAACUACAUAUACUCCAGCAAUAUUCAAGAUGUUUCAAGAGGAAGUGCUUCUGACCCUGAAUUAUGACACGUUCCUUCGUGAUGAUAGUGAUACAGACCAAAAGUUUUACACGGUAAAAUUUCAUGACACAAAACGUGAGCAUGUUGUUAGAUUUGCUCCAAAUGAAGAAAGGGUGAAUUGUAGUUGCAAGAAGUUUGAAUUUGCUGGAAUUUUGUGCCAUCAUUGCUUAAAGGUACUUGAUAUCAAUAAUAUCAAGCAUAUCCCUGAACAAUAUAUCUUGAAAAGGUGGACAAUAGAUGCCAAAGUUCUCGAGAUAACAAGCAAUCGCAAUCUACAUGAGGAUCGAAAAGCAAAAAUGUCAAACUACUACAAGGAGUUGUGCAGAAUGUUUGUGAAAAUAGCUGCUCGUGCCUCUGAAUCGGACGAAACAUAUGAUAUGGUUGCUAAAUGCGCAGAGCAGCUAGCAGAAGCUGUGGAGAAACACUUGAAAAAUAGAACUGAUCCUGAUCCUGAUCCUGAUAUGGGAAAUUCCUCUGUUUCGCAAGGUCCGCUUAUCGACUCUAGUAGAGUUUCAAAACACAACGAGGGGCUUGCCAAGCCAAGAGGUAUCAAGGAGAAGGAGAAGACUACACGAGGAUCAGCAAGACCCAUUGGUGGAUUGGAGAAAGCAAUAACAAAGAAGAAAAAGAAGACAGAUGAUCCUGUACCAGUACAACCUCAAAGCACAUCAAUGGGUAAUUUGGAGGUUAUGACACACCAAAUGAGUAUACCGCAAUUACAGUACAACCCAUUCCUAAAUGCUUCAGUGCAGCCAUCACUUGGUAAUACAAUCUCAAUGCCACCACAACCAACUGGUGGCUUAGAGAUAGCAAAAACAAAACAGAAGAAGACUAGUGAUUCUUUACAAGUACAACCUGAAAGCACAUCGAGGGGUCAUUUGGAGUUUAUGACAAAUCAAAUGGUUGCACCGCAGUUGCAGUACAACCCAUUGCUAAGUGCCUCAAUGCAGUCAUCACAUGGAAAUACAUUCUCGAUGCCAAUGAACCAAAGAAUGGUGGCAGGAUUCCAACAAUACAAUACACUAAUGGGUCAUCCAAACAACCACAUCUGCACCGAUUUCCAAGUGCACAACUCGGCAUUGCAGCAACAGAGCAUUGGACCCUCUGCCUCUACUUUAAUGACAAAUAGCAACCAAAUUAUCUGUAUGCCCACAACCAUAACUCGUGUUCCUAGUAAUCAAGCAAGAAAUCAAAGAUCAAAAGACCAGCAAAGCAAAAAAGAAAAUUUACCUGUGUGGCUGUGUCGUAUCUCUUGUGGAAGUAGUAGAGCUGAAUCUCUUGGUGAACGAACAAAGGCACCUUACGAGCUCUCCACCACGAGCCUGCGGCGUCCCGGUCUGCUGCCUCCGCCUAUGUGUGGCACACUCAUGGCGGUACAAAGCUGCUGCGCCACCCGGGAUCCGCCGCCUCCAUGUACGGGCUGCAGCGCUCCACUAGUCGAAGCAGCUGCCCCAUCCACCAUCCACCUCCUCCAGGUCGGGGCUGGAGCGCUCGAGCUUCUCAGUCUCUGCAGGCAGCUGCGCCCGCCCAAGAUCCACCCCUCCAUGGUCGGAGCUCUCGAGCUGCCCCUGACCUGCUGCGCGCCUGAGGAGAGAAGAACAUGGCCAACAUCCGGAGAAGAUGCAAUCCGGCGACAGAGAAGUCGCCUCCUGAACCACGCCGAGGAGAGGCAGGGAUGGGCGGCAGCGAUCAGCGGCGCACGGAUGGGCGCACGUACGGGGCGCAGCUAUCGGAUGUCUGAUAUCUGUCGGUCGUCCGUAAAAUCCGCGUCCUAUAUAAAAACGGGAACGGGUUUGACCGGGCCGUUACCCUAUCUUUCUCCCCUUCCCCAUCCUCUUCCUCUGUCCGCUGCCGCGUCACCUGGGGGCGGCUUCGUCCGCGCCGCUGCCGUGGUGCCUCGCUAUCGCUGGAGUCAGGCGAAGCCGGACGGAUCCACCGCCAAUCUGUUCCUCCCUCUCCUCGAUUCGGCUCGGUACCUCCUAAGUUCGUCCGUCUCCUCCCAUAGUUUGUUCUUACGCAUUGUGGUGAUCCCCUUCUCACUGGUGGUCUCCUCUGUAGGUGUGGCUGUCCAUACCAUGCCGAAGAUCAAGCACACCGCUCACAAAAAUACCGGGGGCUCGUCAGCUCGCGGCUCACGACACCAGCACUCCUCCAAGUCCUCAACUGAUCCAUGA
rnacentral:rRNA from 1 species